rnacentral:rRNA from 1 species
AGCAGUCGCCACGGUAAUACGAAGGGUGCAAGCGUUACUCGGAAUUACUGGGCGUAAAGCGUGCGUAGGUGGUGGUUUAAGUCCGUUGUGAAAGCCCUGGGCUCAACCUGGGAAUUGCAGUGGAUACUGGGCCACUAGAGUGUGGUAGAGGAUAGUGGAAUUUCCGGUGUAGCAGUGAAAUGCGUAGAGAUCGGAAGGAACAUCUGUGGCGAAGGCGACUAUCUGGGCCAACACUGACACUGAGGCACGAAGGCGGGGGGAGCAAACAGGAUUAGAUACCCCGGUAGUCCCUGUCUCUUAUAC